rnacentral:rRNA from 1 species
GAUGAACGCUGGCGGCGUGCCUAAUACAUGCAAGUCGAACGAGAUGUUUACAUCGAGUGGCGAACGGGUGAGUAAUACAUAAGUAACCUACCCUAAACUGGGGGAUAACUAUUGGAAACGAUAGCUAACACCGCAUAGGUAUAGCGUACCCAUGUACGGUAUAUUAAAAAUGCUUUGCAGCAUUGGUAAAGGAUGGACUUAUGGCGCAUUAGCUAGUUGGUAGGGUAACGGCCUACCAAGGCGACGAUGCGUAGCCGACCUGAGAGGGUGACCGGCCACACUGGGACUGAGACACGGCCCAGACUCCUACGGGAGGCAGCAGUAGGGAAUUUUCGGCAAUGGGGGGAACCCUGACCGAGCAACGCCGCGUGAAGGAAGAAGGUCUUCGGAUUGUAAACUUCUGUUAUAAAGGAAGAACGAGAUAUGCAGGAAAUGGUAUAUCAGUGACGGUACUUUAUGAGGAAGCCACGGCUAACUACGUGCCAGCCGCCGCCGUAAAAC